rnacentral:rRNA from 1 species
GACGAACCGUGCGAACGUUAUUCGGAAUCACUGGGCUUAAAGCGCGUGUAGGUGGUUUGGCACGUCGAGAGCUGAAAUCCCCUGGCUCAACCAGGGAAGUGGCCUCGAUACGACCAGGCUGGAGGGAGGUAGGGGAAUCGGGAACUUCCGGUGGAGCGGUGAAAUGCGUUGAGAUCGGAAGGAACGCCCGUGGCGAAAGCGCGAUUCUGGACCUUUCCUGACACUGAGACGCGAAAGCUAGGGGAGCGAACGGG